rnacentral:tRNA from 1 species
UUCUUAUAGUGUAAUAAAACACGUCGGUCUUUCACACUGGAGAUGGAUUAGUCCUAAGGGC